CAGUCGCCGCGGUAAUACGAGGGGUGCAAGCGUUAUUCGGAUUGAUUGGGUGUAGAGGGUGUGCAGACGGCUUAUUAAGUCACUUGUUAAAUUCUUCGGCCUAACUGAAGGUCUGCAAGUGAUACUGAUGAGCUAGAGGGUGGAAGAGAGAAGUGGAAUUCUCGGAGUAGCGGUAAAAUGCGUAGAUCUCGAGAGGAACACCAAUGGCGAAGGCAGCUUCUUGGUCCAUUCCUGACGUUCAUACACGAAAGCGUGGGGAGCAAACAGGAUUAGAUACCCCCGUAGUCCCUGUCUCUUAUAU
rnacentral:rRNA from 1 species